rnacentral:snoRNA from 1 species
AAGCUAUGAUGUGGGCACUUCCUCUAUAGGUCUUUGAAUUUCUCCCAAGCUUCAUACCAACUCUCUUAAUCAUGGUGGGAUAAAGUCAUUAUCUCAUUGCGAAGCAU